rnacentral:SRP_RNA from 2 species
GCUGGGCAUGGUGGCGCAUGCCUGUAAUCCCAGCUACUUUGGAGGCUGAGGCAGGAGAAUCGCUUGAACCCGGGAGGUGGAGGUUGCAGUGAGCUGAGAUCACGCCACUGCACUCCAGCCUGGGCAACAGAGUGAGACUCUGUCUCAA